UAAGGAAUAUUGGACAAUGGUCGUAAGACUGAUCCAGCCAUGCCGCGUGCAGGAAGACGGCCCUAUGGGUUGUAAACUGCUUUUGUACCAGAGAAAGCCUAUCUACGUGUAGAUAGCUGAUAGUAUGGUAAGAAUAAGCAUCGGCUAACUUCGUGCCAGCAGCCGCGGUAAGACGAAGGAUGCAAGCGUUAUCCGGAUUCAUUGGGUUUAAAGGGUGCGUAGGCGGGCUUGUAAGUCAGUGGUGAAAUCUCUCAGCUUAACUGAGAAACUGCCAUUGAUACUGCAGGCCUAGAGUAUAGAUGACGUUGGCGGAAUAUGACAUGUAGUGGUGAAAUACUUAGAUAUGUCAUAGAACACCGAUUGCGAAGGCAGCUAACGAAACUAUAACUGACGCUGAGGCACGAAAGUGCGGGGAUCAAACA
rnacentral:rRNA from 1 species